AACGAACGCUGGCGGCAUGCCUAACACAUGCCAGUCGAACGAGACCUUCGGGUCUAGUGGCGCACGGGUGCGUAACGCGUGGGAACCUGCCCUUAGGUUCGGAAUAACUCCCCGAAAGGGGUGCUAAUACCGGAUAAUGUCUUCGGACCAAAGAUUUAUCGCCUUUGGAUGGGCCCGCGUUGUAUUAGCUAGUUGGUAGGGUAAAAGCCUACCAAGGCGACGAUCCAUAGCUGGUCUGAGAGGAUGAGCAGCCACACUGGGACUGAGACACGGCCCAGACUCCUACGGGAGGCAGCAGUGGGGAAUAUUGGACAAUGGGCGAAAGCCUGAUCCAGCAAUGCCGCGUGAGUGAUGAAGGCCUUAGGGUUGUAAAGCGCUUUUACCCGGGAUGAUAAUGACAGUACCGGGAGAAUAAGCUCCGGCUAACUCCGUG
rnacentral:rRNA from 1 species